GGUAAAAGAUAUAAUUAAGAAGAAAGGCAACACCGCCACAGUGAUAAAGCAAAGAGAAAAAGCGUGGCAAAGUAUUGCAGACCGCCUGAAUGCAUUAAACAUGAACGGGCCAAAACGGACAUGGCAGCAGGUCAAAAUCAAAUACAAGAACAUUCUGCAGAAUGGUAUGGUCCCUGACUAAUAUUUAACAAAGCACAAGCAUAUAUUGUACCCAGAAGGUGCCUGCUCACACAUUGUCUGUACUGUUUUAGCAGUGAAAAAGAAUACCCACAGACAAGGCACGGGUGGUGGGUCACCAAAGGCUGACCUUACCCCAGCAGAGGACAUGGCCUUGGAGCUAAAUAAAGGCAGGCCCGUCUUAGAGGGGAUCCCUGGGGGAAAGAGACGAGCAUAGGUUCCUCCCAAGAUGCCACCCGCUUCAUUCAAGUGUCUGGCAGCACUGUGUUCCUGUUAGAGCCACCAGCACAAGCACCAGACGAUGCUGAUCCAGGUGAAGGCCCCAGUGCAGCAGCAACAGCACAUGAUGGAGACGAUGAUGAUGAGGAGGAGACCAUCUCUCUGGAUUCCAGAAGGCAUGAGGUAUCAUGGUAAGACUGUGAAAGUACUAUUUACUCUACAAUGGUGAGGAGUCCUCAUCAAAAUCAAAAAAUCUAAUUUCUUUUACAGGACCCAGAUGCUAUACAGUGGGAAAACCAGCCUGGCAACAUAAGCUCACAAGCUAUCAGAAAGUUGUAUGGCAACCACCUCCGGCGCCAAAUAGAACUGGCAGACAUAGACAUUCAGUACAAGAAGAAAGAUGGAAAAUCUUGCACUGGAGUCCGAAAUAAAAAAGAGGACAAUUAGGA